rnacentral:rRNA from 1 species
GAUGAACGCUGGCGGCGUGCCUAAUACAUGCAAGUCGAGCGAACGGACGAGAAGCUUGCUUCUCUGAUGUUAGCGGCGGACGGGUGAGUAACACGUGGAUAACCUACCUAUAAGACUGGGAUAACUUCGGGAAACCGGAGCUAAUACCGGAUAAUAUUUUGAACCGCAUGGUUCAAAAGUGAAAGACGGUCUUUCUGUCACUUAUAGAUGGAUCCGCGCUGCAUUAGCUAGUUGGUAAGGUAACGGCUUACCAAGGCAACGAUGCAUAGCCGACCUGAGAGGGUGAUCGGCCACACUGGAACUGAGACACGGUCAAGACUCCUACGGGAGGCAGCAGUAGGGAAUCUUCCGCAAUGGGCGAAAGCCUGACGGAGCAACGCCGCGUGAGUGAUGAAGGUCUUCGGAUCGUAAAACUCUGUUAUUAGGGAAGAACAUAUGUGUAAGUAACUGUGCACAUCUUGACGGUACCUAAUCAGAAAGCCACGGCUAACUACGUG